rnacentral:rRNA from 1 species
AUUGAACGCUGGCGGCAGGCUUAACACAUGCAAGUCGAGCGAGCGGCGGACGGGUGAGUAAUGUCUGGGAAACUGCCUGAUGGAGGGGGAUAACUACUGGAAACGGUAGCUAAUACCGCAUACCAUCAGAUGUGCCCAGAUGGGAUUAGCUAGUGGGUGGGGUAAUGGCUCACCUAGGCGACGGUCCCUAGCUGGUCUGAGAGGAUGACCAGCCACACUGGAACUGGGAAACGGUCAAGACUCCAACGGGAGACAGCAGUGGGGAAUAUUGGACAAUGGGGGAAAGCCUGAUGCAGCCAUGCCGCGUGUGUGAAGAAGGCCUUCGGGUUGUAAAGCACUUUCAGCGAGGAGACGUUACUCGCAGAAGAAGCACCGGCUAACUCCGUGCCAGCAGCCGCGGUAAUUC